rfam:Treponema sp. OMZ 838, complete genome.
AAAACACGUCGAGUUUGCUUAUCGCAAACAUCGCAGAUUGUAUAUGCGCUAUCGCGUACGAAUGCAACAGUUUCCAAAGUUGAUACUUUGUUCAACUGUUGCAUUUUAAG